rnacentral:tRNA from 1 species
GGCCUGCGAGUGUGAUGGAUGCACGGCUGACUUCGAAUCAGCUAGACGGGGUUCGACUCCUCGGCGGGCUA